rnacentral:misc_RNA from 1 species
GAUGAAGAACGUAGCGAAAUGCGAUAAGUAGUGUGAAUUGCAGAAUUCAGUGAAUCAUCGAAUCUUUGAACGCACAUUGCGCCCCUUGGUAUUCCAUGGGGCAUGCCUGUUCGAGCGUCAUUUGUACCCUCAAGCUUUGCUUGGUGUUGGGCGUCUUGUCUUGUAUUAGACUCGCCUUAAAGUCAUUGGCAGCCAGUGUUUUUGGUAGUAAGCGCAGCACAUUUUGCGUCUUAGUCCUUGAAUCGUGGCAUCCAUGAAGCCUUUUUUCACUUUUGACCUCGGAUCAGGUAGGGAUACCCGCUGAACUUAAGCAUAUCAAAAGCGGAGGA